rnacentral:rRNA from 1 species
AUGGCUCGGUGAGGCCUUCGGACUGGCCCAGGGAGGUCGGCAACGACCACCCAGGGCCGGAAAGUUGGUCAAACCCGGUCAUUUAGAGGAAGUAAAAGUCGUAACAAGGUCUCCGUAGGUGAACCUGCGGAGGGAUCAUUACAAGUGACCCCGGAUUACCACCGGGAUGUUCAUAACCCUUUGUCGUCCGACUCUGUUGCCUCCGGGGUGACCCUGCCUUCGGGCCGGGGCCCCGGGUGGACACUUCAAACUCCUGCGUAACUCUACAGUCUGAGUAAACUUAAUACAUUAAAACUUUUAACAACGGAUCUCUUGGUUCUGGCAUCGAUGAAGAACGCAGCGAAAUGCGAUAAGUAAUGUGAAUUGCAGAAUUCAGUGAAUCAUCGAAUCUUUGAACGCACAUUGCGCCCCCUGGCAUUCCGGGGGGCAUGCCUGUUCGAGCGUCAUUUCACCACUCAAGCCUCGCUUGGUAUUGGGUAACGCGGUCCGCCGCCUGCCUCAAAUCGACCGGCUGGGUCUCCUGUCCCCCAAGCGUUGUGGAAACUAUUCGCUAAAGGGUGUUUAGGAGGCUACGCCGUUAAACAACCCCAUUUCUAAGGUUGACCUCGGAUCAGGUAGGGAUACCCGCUGAACUUAAGCAUAUCAAUAAGCGGAGGAAAAGAAACCAACAGGGAUUGCUCUAGUAACGGCGAGUGAAGCAGCAAUAGCUCAAAUUUGAAAUCUGGCGU